GAGGCUUGGGGCGGCGUUCUUCCGGAGGGCGUCGCCGAGGCAGGGCGUGGGGUCCCGGUGCCGGGCUAGGGGCGGAGCUGCACGAUGGCGUCCGGAGCGGCUCGCUGGCUGGCUUUGGCACCUGUCCGGUCUGGGGUUUUCCGGCGCGGGCAGAACCUACAAAACGUUGGAGAUGUCUCCGCCGGACCGGGCGGCUUGGGUCGGAGCCUGGUACCGUCGAGGUCAGUCAUCGUUACUCGCAGCGGCGCCAUUUUGCCCAAGCCGGUGAAAAUGUCCUUCGGCCUGCUCCGCGUCUUCUCCAUCGUGAUCCCCUUCCUCUAUGUCGGGACACUCAUUAGCAAGAACUUUGCUGCCCUGCUUGAGGAACAUGACAUUUUUGUCCCAGAGGAUGACGAUGACGAUGAUUAACAGGCCCCGAGGAACCCUGUGCUGGGCUGGGGAGCGAACUCAGCCGUGUACAGUGCAGGCAGCUUCCCUGUUGGACUUCUCUCAGCUCCAGACUAUGCUAUUAUCCAACUUCAAGCACGGGUUCGCUGUUCCUCCUAACUGGAAGGGCAUGGAAGAGGUACAAGACGACACAAGCCCUCAGUUCCUGAAGAAAUGGUGAUGCUCACAGCCUCUCCUUCAAAUCAGUGACGCCUCGUGCAUGGUCUGUGACCACACCCCAGAUCCAUGGGACCCGUGAGGUUCCCUGAGCUGUGCUUUCCUCUGAACGCCAUCAGAUUAUAAAUAAACAGAAUAAAUAUCA